rnacentral:rRNA from 1 species
GACGAACGCUGGCGGCGUGCUUAACACAUGCAAGUCGAACGAAGAGCGAUGGAAGCUUGCUUCUAUCAAUCUUAGUGGCGAACGGGUGAGUAACGCGUAAUCAACCUGCCCUUCAGAGGGGGACAACAGUUGGAAACGACUGCUAAUACCGCAUACGAUCUAACCUCGGCAUCGAGGAAGGAUGAAAGGUGGCCUCUAUGUAUAAGCUAUCACUGAAGGAGGGGAUUGCGUCUGAUUAGCUAGUUGGAGGGGUAACGGCCCACCAAGGCGAUGAUCAGUAGCUGGUCUGAGAGGAUGAACGGCCACAUUGGGACUGAGACACGGCCCAGACUCCUACGGGAGGCAGCAGUGGGGAAUCUUCCGCAAUGGACGAAAGUCUGACGGAGCAACGCCGCGUGAGUGAUGACCGGCUUCGGGUUGUAAAGCUCUGUUAAUCGGGACGAAAGGCCUCUUGCGAAUAGUUAGAAGGAUUAACGUACCGGAAUAGAAACACG